UACACUCCUGCGGGAGGCAGCAGUGGGGAAUUUUGGACAAUGGGCGAAAGCCUGAUCCAGCAAUGCCGCGUGAGUGAAGAAGGCCUUCGGGUUGUAAAGCUCUUUUGUCAGGGAAGAAACGGUGAGAGCUAAUAUCUUUUGCUAAUGACGGUACCUGAAGAAUAAGCACCGGCUAACUACGUGCCAGCAGCCGCGGUAAUACGUAGGGUGCAAGCGUUAAUCGGAAUUACUGGGCGUAAAGCGUGCGCAGGCGGUUUUGUAAGUCUGAUGUGAAAUCCCCGGGCUCAACCUGGGAAUUGCAUUGGAGACUGCAAGGCUAGAAUCUGGCAGAGGGGGGUAGAAUUCCACGUGUAGCAGUGAAAUGCGUAGAUAUGUGGAGGAACACCGAUGGCGAAGGCAGCCCCCUGGGUCAAGAUUGACGCUCAUGCACGAAAGCGUGGGGAGCAAACAGGAUUAGAAACCCCAGUAGUCCCAUGA
rnacentral:rRNA from 1 species